GGAUUAGAAACCCGGGUAGUCCUGGCAGUAAACGGUGCACGCUUGGUGUGAGGGGAAUCGACCCCCCUUGUGCCGGAGCUAACGCGUUAAGCGUGCCGCCUGGGAAGUACGGUCGCAAGACUAAAACUCAAAGAAAUUGACGGGGACCCGCACAAGCGGUGGAGUAUGUGGCUUAAUUCGAUGCAACGCGAAGAACCUUACCAAGGCUUGACAUGGAUUUCUAAGCACGUGAAAGCGUGUGACCCUUCGGGGGACUUCCACAGGUGCUGCAUGGCCG
rnacentral:rRNA from 1 species